rnacentral:rRNA from 1 species
UGAGUAACACGUAUCCAACCUGCCGUCUACUCUUGGCCAGCCUUCUGAAAGGAAGAUUAAUCCAGGAUGGCAUCAUGAGUUCACAUGUCCGCAUGAUUAAAGGUAUUUUCCGGUAGACGAUGGGGAUGCGUUCCAUUAGAUAGUAGGCUGGGUAACGGCCCACCUAGUCAACGAUGGAUAGGGGUUCUGAGAGGAAGGUCCCCCACAUUGGAACUGAGACACGGUCCAA